GGGGACAUGGCUUAGCAGUUAAAAGCCCUGGCUGCUCUUCUGGAGGACCUGGGUUCAAUUCCCAGCAUCCACA
rnacentral:tRNA from 1 species